rnacentral:rRNA from 1 species
UACGAAGGGUGCAAACGUUGCUCGGAAUCAUUGGGCGUAAAGCGCACGUAGGCGGCCUCGCAAGUCUGACGUGAAAUCCCCGGGCUUAACCUGGGAAUUGCGUUGGAGACUGCAAGGCUGGAGUCUGGCAGAGGGGGGUAGAAUUCCACGUGUAGCAGUGAAAUGCGUAGAGAUGUGGAGGAACACCGAUGGCGAAGGCAGCCCCCUGGGUCAAGACUGACGCUCAUGCACGAAAGCGUGGGGAGCAAACAGG